rnacentral:rRNA from 1 species
AGAGUUUGAUCAUGGCUCAGAAUCAACGCUGGCGGCGCGCUUAACACAUGCAAGUCGCACGAGAAAGGGAGCAAUCCUAAGUAAAGUGGCGCACGGGUGAGUAACACGUGGAUCAUCUACCUUUUAGUGGGGAAUACCUCUGGGAAACCGGAGACAAUACCGCAUAAGCCUGUAAAGGGAAAGCAGCAAUGCGCUGAAAGAGGAGUCCGCGGCCGAUUAGCUAGUUGGCGGGGUAAUGGCCCACCAAGGCGAAGAUCGGUAGCCGGCCUGAGAGGGCACACGGCCACACUGGCACUGAAACACGGGCCAGACUCCUACGGGAGGCAGCAGUGGGGAAUCUUGCACAAUGGGCGAAAGCCUGAUGCAGCGACGCCGCGUGAGCGAUGAAGCCCUUCGGGGUGUAAAGCUCUUUCGACGGGAACGAUAAUGACGGUACCCGGAGAAGAAGCUGCGGCUAACUACGUGCCAGCAGCCGCGGCAAUACGUAGGCAGCGAGCGUUGUUCGGAAUUACUGGGCGUAAAGAGUGUGUAGGCGGUGUUCCCAGUCUGUUGUGAAGUCUCCCGGCUUAACUGGGAGGGUGCAGCGGAAACUAGAAUGCUAGAGGGUGGGAGAGGUAAGCGGAAUUCCUGGUGUAGCGGUGAAAUGCGUAGAUAUCAGGAGGAACACCUGGUGUAGACAGCUUACUGGACCACUUCUGACGCUGAGACACGAAAGCGUGGGUAGCAAACAGGAUUAGAUACCCUAGUAGUCC